CGGUACACAAGUCAGAGUCACAACAGACACAACAUAACCUCACUGCUGUUUGCAUGCAACUUCUGCAGAGUGUAAUCCCAAAGAAAAUGAGAGCUCACGUUGUGUUCCUGCUCUUUGCUCUCAUCGUGGUCGGGCUGACAGCGACGUCACCUGAUUCCCACGGAGACCGUGAAGUUGUCCCGGACAACGUGGCCAUACCAGAAAUGUUGGACACUGAUAUGAACGAACUGCAGAGACACAACGAAAACUCCGAGAGUCCUAAAGGUCCUCAUGUUUAAACACAGACUAUGACUAGUCCAUGAGCAUGAAGAGAAACAGCUUGAAGACCUCCUCUAAAUCUGAGCCAGCCUGUCUGCAGCUGAAUGAAAUGCACAACGAUUAAACACACGUUCACGUUAAUAAAUCUUAAUUUCAA